rnacentral:lncRNA from 1 species
CUGAAUACAAUUAUUUUGUUAACAAAUACCAACAAAGAUAAAUACAUUGUAUUGCAGUAUUCUACUGCAAUCAAAGGGAAAAUGAUGAAAUUGAUUGCGGCAAUAUCAAUAUUCGGUGAUUUUUUCAACAAACUUCAACAUAUUUUAUUCAAAUAAUUAAAAUUAUGCCACUAGCAUGACUAGACAACAAUUAGUAAAAAAUAAAAAUCAGGGCGAAUGGACCCUGGGCGAACAGGUAUCAGGGCGAACAGGUACUAGGGCGAACGUGAAUUAGGGCGUACGGACCCGGAUUCC